rnacentral:rRNA from 1 species
AUUGAACGCUGGCGGCAUGCGUAACACAUGCAAGUCGAACGGUGUUUGGUGCUUGCACCAGACAUAGUGGCGGACGGGUGAGUAAUGCGUAGGAAUCUGUCUUAGAGAGGGGGACAACCCGAGGAAACUUGGGCUAAAACCGCAUAUUCUCGAGAGAGGAAAGCAGGGGACCGGAAACGGCCUUGUGCUCUAAGGUGAGCCUACGUCGGAUUAGCUAGUUGGUAGGGUAAAGCCUACCAAGGCGAUGAUCUGUAGCUGGCCUGAGAGGACGGACAGCCACACUGGGACUGAGACACGGCCCAGACUCCUACGGGAGGCAGCAGUGGGGAAUAUUGGACAAUGGGGGAACCCUGAUCCAGCGAUGCCGCGUGUGUGAAGAAGGCCUGCGGGUUGUAAAGCACUUUCAGUGGGAAAGAGAAGCGUCUUGUGAAU